AUCACCUCCAAAGGACCCCACCUCCUAGUACCAUCACACUAGGAUUCGGGUUUUAUCAUACUAAUUUUAUGGGGACGCAUUCAGUCCAUUGCAGCCAUCAAGAUUCCUGGCCCCUGGUAAACACAGGCCUUCUCUCAGUUAUUCAGUCAAACACUAAUCCAGGUGCUGCUGUGAAGGGAUUUUGCAGAUGUCACUAAAUUCCCAAAUCAGUCAACUUUAAAACAGGGAGAUUAUCCAGACUCCAUGUGGUCAUUUUUAAAGAUAUGAUUUUGGAGGGGAGCAGAGCAAUAUGGUAGAAUAGAAGGCUGCACCAAUUAUCCUCCCACUCAACAAGAACAGCAAAUUUAACAACUAUCUACAGACAAAAAAGCACCUUCAUAAGAACCAAAAAUCAGGUGAGCACUCACAGUACCUGUUUUUUUUUUUUCUUUUUG
rnacentral:lncRNA from 1 species